AAAGGACACAAGGGGCUGGGGACGCGGGGGACGCGCGGCAAGGCGGCGAAGGCCAGGGGGGCGCGAGGCCGCUAUCUUCGCUCGCUUUCCCCGCGGCGCCCCGAGGCGCCCUGGCUCAUGACCCUCUCGGCUGGCGUUUGAGGCUCGCUCGGAGCCCACCCUGCGGGCGGGCAGCGGGGCUGGCGGAGCGGCGGCGGCGGGUGCACUGCGGAGCUGCCGCGGGGCGCGCGCUGGGCUGCGGAGGGCGGCGGCGGCGGCGGCGUCAGAGCCGCUACGCGAGGCUGGCGCGGCGCCCCCACCCGCGCGCGGCCCAAUGCGCUCCCGCCCCUCGGAAUCAGGCGGAGGGCGGGCUUUGGGGAAGGGGGAACACCCGGAGGCGGGGGGUGGGGGGGAGGGCGACGAGAAGAGACAAGGGGCUCGGAGGGACUCCUGAGAAUUGAGAUGGGGGCCGGGAAGGGCGGCCGCGGGGUGGGUGGCACCGAGUGGGAGCGCACACGGGGAAGGGGCUCAGAGGGCACGGUGGGGGCCGGAGUGCUGCAUUUCUGGGGGAGGUGCUAAGCUCGGAUCCUAGCCCUUCCCACCUCGCCACCGCAGGGAGGGAGGGGGCCGAAGCGUGCUGAUUCUCGCGGUCCCGCUGCCGCGACUACCCCCUCCAGAGCCCGAGAGCCGUUCGGCCCCAGAGCCUCUGGCCAAGGACUGGUCUAGACGUCCAGAAAGGCAGCGACAAGUCACCUGUCUCCGGCGGCGCGGGCCGUCUGGGCGUCGAUCCGUACCCGUUACGCACACUGAGACCUGUCCGCAAGCCCCCCUCGAGGGCAGAAGUGUCCGUCCUGGGCCGCUCUCAAGGAUGCUCAGCCUGGCCUCGGUCGCCGGGCAGCUUCAGCCCGUCCAGGGCCGCUGCGCUGGAAGCGAUUCUGCGGCUCGCUCGCCACCGACCGCUCUCAAAAUGUGAGCAGAAUGGAGGCGAAAGGUUGGCCUUUCACUUUCUUUGCGUUUGGGAGCGUGGAAGGAGGCAGGACUUCUUGAGGGCCUCUCUGGACAGCCUCGUGGCGGGUCUGCGUAUGUCCACGCCGCGGAGGGGCGCAGCCGGUGUCGCGCGGCGAGGAAAGCAGGGCUCGCGGCGGGCCCGGGGCGCGCAGGUGCGCGGGGCGCUCGCCGCGGUGCUGAAACCCUGGACCGGUGCCGUUGAGCGCGGUGCGUGUGUGCGCGCACGGGUAAGAGAGCGACCCGCAGACAAAGACCGAUACUGCAUCAGAUACAGCUACGGGCCGAACCUGAGCGGACUCCGAGGAGCAAGUUCUGUCGUGAGCCUUUUCCUGCUGAGGGGACAGGUGCUGGAUCUAUAA
rnacentral:lncRNA from 1 species